UAAAAACCUGUGAUACAUUUUUCUCCAGCCCAGUUAACUUUUGCCCUUCUGAUUGUUAACAUCCAAAUAUAAACUACAUCACGUUACUCGAACAACCGAAUUCAUCCUGAAAAAAUAAGCAGAAAUCAGUUUCAAAUCUUCAAGGAAAAUGGACCCAUUCGUUGAAAUGUUUCUGCUCGGACUUUGUAAUUUUUAUAUGGGACCAAUAAUUAUUUUAUCGGACAUCAUGACAGACCUUGACCGUUACGAAGCUAAGCUAGAAGCCAAGAAAGACAUUCAGGAAAUCCUACUGGAAUAUUUCCCCCAUGUACUUGCCUAUUGCGGCAUGAUACUCUGCUGCAUUAUUUCGGGAUUAUGUGCAAUUUUGGCAUCCACGAGUGAGGACAGAGAGUGGGUGAUCAGGUUGGCAAAGGGGGCGAAUUUCUUUUCCAAAACGUUAUACUGGUUAGUUUGGGGGAUCGUACUGUACAACUGGAGUCCGUUGAUGGAGGGGAGAACCUGGGAGGGAUAUCCGAGGUCACGGGAGUCGGUUAAGAUGCACUUCUAGACAUUCCUUUAUUGCUGCGUAGCGCAAUUUUAUUUUGUGAAGAGAUGUAAAAAACUAAUUCAAGACAUAAUUAACCAAAAUUAGGUAAAUUUGAAACAAGGUGGGAGGAAAACAGGUCUAAAAAGAAGGAGGAAUUGAUUUCUUGAGAAAUUUAGGUAUGUAUUUGUGAUCGAGCAAGUAAAUUUUUUAGUUUUAUUGGUAUAGUUUGUAAAAAUGAGAAGAUUAUGGAUUUAAUUAUUUAAAUCCUUCGUGUGAUGUACGUAUAUUUAAGUUUAUUUAAAGGCGAUCAAUAUUUCGCAAAGUGUAUCGAAAUUAAUGACAAAUGUACUGCGUAAAUAUUUUGUAAUAAUGGUUUUAAAAUCUGUCUUCGUGUAUUAAUUGAGCAAUGAUUUAAGUAAUUUUUAAGCAUCUAUUAUAUCUCGAUGCUGUAAAGUCGAGUAAAAAAUGUACAAAUAUAUGUAUGUAUAUAUGCCUUUGGCUAAUUAUACCAGAAUAAUUUCAAGAUGGGAAGAAACCAGGUCAAAAAAGAAGGAAGAAUUGGUUUCUUGAGAAAUUUAUGUAUGUAUUUGUGAUCGAGCAAGUAUUUAAGAUGCUAUCGUGAGUACGCUCAAAAUAAAGAAUAAAAUAUGUAUAUAUUAUAGA